AUGCGCCAUUGUGGUUUUGUAGGCAAGUGCUCCCUCCUCUUCCUGCGCGGCGGCCCUUGCCCUCCUCUCUCUUCGGUCCCCUUCGCGCCUCCUCGCGGCAGUCGUAGCCAAGGAGCCCGAGCUCGGCGGCGACGGAUCGGAAGGCAGCGGCGGCGCUGGAUCUGGCAGUGGUGGAGCCGCCGCCGUCUCCACUCGCCGGGAACCGGCCAGAUCCGCCCCACGAGCUUCACAGGUGCCACCCCCUCCGCCACCAGCCACGGUGGCCUCCCCCGCCCCGUAUCGGCGCGGAUCCAGCUGCCAUCUCCCGCAGCAACGGCGGCCUCGCCCUGCUCCGCCCCCGCUCCUCCUCCUCCUCCUCCUCCGCGCCUUCGCCUCGCUCCCCAUCCCGGCCGCCGCGAGAGGCGGCCUCGACCCGUCUCCCUCAGGUAUCAACGAUGA
rnacentral:rRNA from 1 species